UAACCAGUCAAGCCUGGCUUGGUAUUGGAGUCCGUCAUACGACGGCUUCUAAAAGCAGUGGCAGCGCCGCUGAGCUCUAAGCGUAGUAAAUCUCCUCGCUACAGAGUUCUUGUGGUAGUUCGUCAUAACCCCCCUACUUUUUAA
rnacentral:misc_RNA from 1 species